CCUACGGGUGGCUGCAGUGAGGAAUAUUGGUCAAUGGGCGGAAGCCUGAACCAGCCAAGUCGCGUGAGGGAAUAAGGCCCUACGGGUCGUAAACCUCUUUUGCCGGGGAGCAAGGGCCGGGACGAGUCCCGGUCCGGGGAGUACCCGGAGAAAAAGCAUCUGCUAACUCCGUGCCAGCAGCCGCGGUAAUACGGAGGCUGAGGGCGUUAUCCGGAUUUAUUGGGUUUAGAGGGUGCGUAGGCGGGCUUUUUAUGCAGCGGUAAAAAUUCGGGGCUCAACCCCGUCCGGCCGUUGAAACUGGGUGCCUUGAGUGGGCGAGAAGAAGGCGGAAUGCGUGGUGUAGCGGUGAAAUGCAUAGAUAUCACGCAGAACCCCGAUUGCGAAGGCAGCCUUCCGGCGCCCUACUGACGCUGAGGCACGAAAGUGCGGGGAUCGAACAGGAUUAGAUACCCCUGUAGUC
rnacentral:rRNA from 1 species